UCACAUUUUUUAACAAGCUUCCUUUAUCACUGGGAAUUUCAUCCUAGAGAAAGCUGGCAAAGGUCUGAGAGGCAGAGUACACCUCCACAGCACUGGGAUAGGGGCUAGGAGAGGGGUUAUUGUGAAAGGAAGGCCAGCAAGAGAUUGCCUUGUCAGCUGAAUUGAUUAAGUCUUUCUAACACUUUAGUUAAUGGAGCAACAGUGCUUUACAGUAGCUACAGCUUGGCAGGCACUUAGGUAUUUCUAAGAUAUUUUAUUUGCCAGUAAAAAAAAUCACCUAGGAUAGCGAGAAGGUUUGGUUUGUACGUAAAUGGGGAGAAUUGGGAAUUGUCAGUGAGGGAACAGCACACAGGGUGAUCCAUCAGCCAGUGCAGGGACAGCUUCAAAUCAGUAAACAUGUCAUGCUAAACUUGUGGCAGUGCCUGAUCUCAUGUUAAAUGAUUUAAUAACAAUGUUCUAGAAGUCCUAAUAGCAGUAGAUGGCUUUUUUUGACCCAAAGAAUGUACAUUACACCUUGAGGCAAAGAAAAAAAAAGAAAAAAAAAGAAAGAGAGAGAGAAGAGAGAAAAAAAAAAAGUUCUGUGUUUGCAAAUGCUGAUUUGGAGCCAAAGGGUUUCACGUCAAAAGUCUCUCAGAUCCCUACAGUAACUGCAAGCAACACACACAAGAUCUGAGCUCAAAUAAUUCCAGUGUUGAAAUUCAAUCCAUUUUGGGUCAAGAAGCCAGUGGGGGAAUGUCUCUGACAAAAAGACAGGUGAAGCUAGUUUAGAGCAGAUACAAAAACUGACUUGGAGCUGCAAAGUGCAGUUGUCAGAAGAGUGUUUCACUUACGAGGCUAAAAUGCAAUUAGGGUUUGAUUCAGCUCUUGUAAGAACUGCUGGAGGCACUUCCCCGGGUGCUGGGCAUGCUGAGUCACCAGCGGCUGCUGAGUCACCAGCGGCCAGUUGCAGGCAGGGCUGUCACACACCCCAUCUGAAGGCAGCUCUGGUGCAGCUGGGAAUAUGAGCUUAAUUUUACAUACAGUGUAAUUCAGUUUUUGUCGUUACCUUGCCUGCAGCAGCACUGUGCAUAAUAGAGUCACCUGACAACUGAUGAAGUGAAUGUUUCAUAAAAAUACCUUCUGAAGAGACAAUUGCUUUUGUCCCUAAAAUACGUAGAAAAUUUUUAAAUGCUUCCACCUUGACUUCCUCUCCCACUUUCUGUAGCAGAAAAGGGGAAAAAAUGAAAGUAAAAGGAAAAAAAGCUGCUUAUUCAGAACUAAAAGCGAACUUAUUGGCAGUUGUUUUACAACACUGAAUAACCAGGGAAUUUCAGGGACCUGAAAAUAGCCAUCUUUUAGAAAAAAAUAAAAAGAAAAGAAUUGUAAAUAGGACAGAAAUUCCAACCAGUCUCUGGAGAGUAGGAGAAAAUUGUCAGGGCAGUCCAGAGAGGAGGAAAAGAUUAUUUUAGCUGAGCCAUUCACUAAAUGGACACUCACUUAAUGCAAAACUUCUUGAGGGUGGGACCUGCCAAGAAGACCUCAGUUUCAGCAGCCCAGGAGCACACUAAGCUGGGGCAUGAACCCCUCCUCUGUGCUGGUGUGAUUUAAUGUAUGGACAGGAGGUGCUGGGCACUUGUUUGGGAGCAGCUGGGUGCCCUGCGAGGGCUGUUUCUGAGUCCAUCAACAGCAGGUGCUGCUGCUUGAGAGAAAUAAAUGCUAAUGCAGAUGACAUUGAAAUAUCCUGAGGCCUGAAAUGCCCCUGGGUGGUACCUGCUGUGACCAUUCCCAGCUGUGCAGAGGGGUGUGAAACAGUCAGAAAUCAGCAUCGUUUUGGCCAGGGUUAGGUGAUAGCACGGGGUGGGCAACGGUGCAGGGUGAUGUCCAAAGUUUGGUUUAAGGAAUUAAAGGGCCUGACUCUUCCAGUGCCAGAGGCCUCUGCCAGAGGAGUGUUUUUCUCCUCUUCUCUAGCUCCCAGUAAGCUCACAAAGUUCAGAGCACGUGUAAGUUCCUUUACCUGUGCAGCUUCCCCAGCCAGGACCAUCAGAGAUCUGCGGGAUGGGCUAGAGGCAGGCGUGCUGUCACUUCCAGGCUCUGGUCGGAAGCAGCUAACCGCAGCGCUGCUCCGGAGAGCCAGCCCCGUUCUUGUUCGCUUGUAGAGGAAGUGCCAAUCAAAACAAAUAGUACUUGAGGUUAAAAGGCUCAAAGUCUGUUAGCAUCACAAAACCCAAUCUCUGCAUCUACUUCUGCCAUUCCAAAAUCAUGACAGAGAGCAGCAAGUAUCAGGAGGUCACGGAGAUAAGUAGGACCCGGCUGAUGCAAUGCUGAGCCUGAUGGAGGAGCUGUUAUUGAAGAGCUGGUGCAGAGAGGACACGUUUUGCUCCCCUUCUGUUUGUGCUGCUCCAGACAACAGCUUACUGACAACUGAUGACUUCUAAUUGUAAAACCAAUGGACCAGGACCCAGAGUAGCCUGUGACACCCUAAUAUUGGAUGUUGAUACUAGAUGUAUGGCGCAUGCUGAGAAUCACACAGCCUUGGGGGCCCUGCAGCAGAUGGAAGAAGAGUCUCUACUCAGAGACUUCGCUGCCUACAUUAAGAGAUGGUGCGACACAUACAGACAGGAGGAAGCACAAGGGAAGCUUGAGCACUUCAUACGCGAAACCAUCCCAUGAACUUGAAGGCUGUGGGCGCUGGAUGGGAAUCAGUCCCAGCCCUUCACAGGCUGCAGUCCCUGCAGGAGCCCUUGCUGUGCCACUGCAGAGGAGCCAACUGUUGCAGAUCCCACCCUGGUGGUCUGUCAUCACACCUUGCCCCUGGGACGAGGGUCUGCAAGAGGAUGCUGGUUCCCUGAUCCUGACACAGAGAUAACAAACACUAAAAUAAAAUGAAGUGAAAUACUGGAUAGCCUGCUUUAUACCCCUUUUAAAACCAAACACAAAAGCCAAAUGAGAUCAUACGGUUUAUUAGGCAAGAUAUUUCCAGUAAAGAUGGGGAAGUGCUCCUGCCACUGUACAAGGAACUGCUGAAACUUUGUCUGGAAAGUCGCAGUCAGUUCCCAUGAUCUGUCUUUGGGAAGGAUAAGUCCCAGGAAGAACUCGGAAGAUGACUGGAACAACGGGUGAUGCUUCCAAGGAACAACCAAGAGUGUGGGUCAUUCGGCGUAGCAGAGCUGAAGUGUGAGCACUGUCUUCUGUAGAUGCAACGGAAGGAAGAAUAUUACAUAAAUGAAAGGAAAUUGUUGGUCGUCAGAAUGAUAUAAACUGUUGUGGAAUACAUUUAUGCUGGAGGAGGGGUCUGGGCCUCAGAGCAACCUGGUUCUGCCAAACCUUGCAUUGGGACAGCAGGGCCAGGGUCCUGUUACAUAACCCAUAUAUGAAAGGGAUUGCACGUGAUGCUGCGAAAACACAAUCUGGCUUCAGUGCUCAUCUCCAGUCCCAUAUGCUCCUAGAAUACCAAUAAUUUCUUCCACUAGUCUGGUAUUCCGUAGGCAACUGUCUAGCUGUGAUCUUCCAGAGAUCCACAAGCAGGCUUUAUUAUUUAGGUUUUAGCUCAGCUAUAAUACAUCAUUUAUAAAAAGCCCUGCCGCGCUAAGCUGCAUUCAGUAGCAUGGCAACAUCCAGUGUAUAUAUUUGGCUGUGCUCUGCUUUGUCUUUUGUUAGCUUUGGUGUCAGCAGGUAAGUGAUCAGAGGGGCCCGAGACCUGCCGGUGCUGGGACGCCUUGCGUAGAGGCUGUCUCAGCUUUACAUCUUUUGCAGACCUGGUGCUGCCGCAUUCCUCACCAGCGCCCGGCACACUGCUAUCGAUGCAUCUCCACUGGAAUGAGCAGAUGCUGCUUUGCUCCAGACUGCAGGUGUCCGUGCUCUGCUUUUCUGCAGUUUCCUUCUGUGGAAAGCUUCAUCUGCUGGGGCUCCUGUGCUCCGAAUCAUGGUUUGCCCCAGCCCUGCACCCCCUUCCCUUUCCAAAAUGCAUUUUGAAGCUUCAGCUGCAGUGAUCUGGGUGCAGGUAACUGGGGGGUGCAAACACCACGGUCACUAAAGGGAGAAACCCCAGCCCUAUGCCCAGUAAUGGAGCUCUCCAUGGCAUUGUGCUAGAGACUACAACUUAUCUAGCUGGCUAGAUAAGGGGAUGCAGGAGCCACAGCAGUGUGCUUUAUGGCCAGAAUAUGUCAGCAAGGCCUCCGUUGCCUCCAAUGGAGAUGGCAGUCUGGCUUUUCUCCUGGUGGCUGCUGUAGCGAUAACCAUGUGCUCAGCCCCUGAGCUCAGCCCUCUGGCAGGAUACAUGCAGGGACCCCAGGUUCAUCCCACUUAUUACCAAUAGCCGCAGUCUGGGACUGGGGCUGCAGGAAGGGCAGGGACCCGUAGGGCUGCUCGGCAGUACCAAGAGCUGCUGAGCAUGGUGCAGCAGGGCUCUGCUCAGCGCGGGGGCUGCCUCGGUCAGGGGUUCCCCGCGGGACCCUCCUCACACAGGAGGCAGCGAGCAGAGCCGGGACAGCAGUGCCAGGUGUCAGGUGUCUGUCUGAGCCUCCCACCAGCAAGAAGGUCUCCAUCUAAAUCAACAGGAGCUCUCUGGACUUUGAACCAUGGAGGGUGGAUAUUUUUAGAAGCCAAUCAAUCAGUGGUGACUGUUCAAGUUCAGGCAAGUCAAACACAGCUUGCAAAGUUACACAGAAGCACUGUGUGUCGUGAAAAGGUUGGUGAGCCUGCUUAUUUGACAAGCUGUGCCAAAUCCAGGAGCUACCAGAGCUGAGUUCUUUUUAGAGAGAUAUCUAUAAGAAGUAGAAGUAUAAACAUGCUGUGGAUUGUAAAACACACACUUUUUUAAUUGAAGCAAUAAAUUACUGUUUGCGCUUCCACAGAAUCCUUCUUUCAAGAUGCCAAGUGUGUUUCCAAACCUGAGCAGCCCUAGGCUGAGGGUUUGUCAUCCUGGCCCAUUUGUAGGUGAGGAGACUGAGGCACAGAAGCGUGUAGGUGCUACUGAGGUAACCCAGAGCCUCAGAAGAGCAGUGCUGGUCUGCAACAGUGCUGGACGAAGAGAACAAACACAUGUGCCCUGGCUUUCCCUGUCACAAUCUGAUUAGCUGCAACCGCAGGGACAGAGUUAGGUCACCCCUGGGGCUCUGAAGGGCAGCAGAAGGUUGGCUUUUUGGUGGCUCUGCUACAAGGUAGUAGCAGCUGAAGCCCUUGUAGAUGUUUCUUCAAAGAGCAUAAGCUAGGGAUUGGUAACACUGAGUAAAGAGAGGGUGUAUGAAUGUAGUGUGUAGGAAAAAAAAAAAUCAUACCAAUGAAUCAUACUGCUUGGUGAAAAAUGUAGAGGCUUGGUGGUUCUGGGGAAGCAGGCACAGCCUGGUCUCGGACUGGCCCUCUAAAACCAGACACCAACAAAUCAGUGAGCAGAUCAGAAAAUGUUGGCGUUCUGAUUUUCAAAGCCUCAGUUUGUCCAUCUUGAAAAUGGGCUUGAGGUUUUCCAAUGUCACUACCCAUGGAGAAAAGAACCCGUGGCUCUGGCCCUGUCUGCUUCUCUGCUGCUUCUGGCCCUUCCCUCCAUCAUUGCAAGGCCUCUGCUCCAGAGCGCCUCGUUGCAGCCUUUGCACAGCUGCACAAAAUGUAGUGCAUGAUCUGAUUCUCAAAUUGGGCUUAACUCGUAUGUUCAGUGCCAGCUGGAGGGGCCUGCUGGGUUUUUGCUGAUGCAUCAGAAAUAUAUUUUUAGGAAGGUUUCUCUAUAAUUAUCACAUUAUAGCUCCUUCUGGAUCACUCAGAGAAUAGUAAACAAUUGCUAUACUUGUUAGAGGUCAUGAAUACAGAAAAACAUUCCUCUGUGUGAGGUCUGCUGUUAAAUAAUAACUUGUCGUUUCAUGGUGUGUGGGGGGGUGAAUGCCCUCAAAGGGACGUGCUGACAUUGUUUAAGCCAGUGAUCCAGUUCCUGUAAUUUACACCACUUUCUUAAAGCUGCUGCUCUGCACACGAAUAAUGGAUGCGCCGGGGGACAGCUGUCACCCCGCUGCAGCUCCUGUUGUUGCGCGUUGAGCCCCUCGCUCUUUUCUCUGUUGCCCAUUUUGCAGUGGGACGCAGGUACUGUCACCACCAGGUGGUCGGCCCCAGGGACGAUGGGCAGCUGAGUGUGGAAAGCGGUGAGUGUAACUUGUACAGGGUGCAGCUCCAGGCGGAAAGGGGAAGCGAGCGCAAGAGAAGGUGAUCAGAGAAAAGGAUUAUGAACGAGUAAUUUCAUGAGCAGAGGGUCUAAUGAACAGCGUUUACCCUUGUGGCGUCUCUGCUGUCUGGUGCAGAGGGAGCAGUGCUGCUGCAUUCUCCGCAGGGGAUACUAAUGGUGUCUGUAUCCUCCAUCCGUCAUCUCCAGUGCCUGUCUGGGAACUUCAGGGCUUUGAGAAAUCCUUCUCCCUGUCUCCUUGAAAUUGUCUGACGUGCUCAAGAGCUACUUUUAUACACACACUGGGCUUAUGCGGCACUCCAUGUAAAGCUUCAUUUCCUUAGAAAAUCCAGGCUUUACAAUAAUCACCUCACCACUUGCCCAGGCGUAACAUGCAGUUGUGGUUUUCACGGUACAGAAGAACUGUGAGGAUCCAGCUGUGGCUAAAAUCAGUUAACAAAAUGGGCAAAUUAGCAAUCCCAAAGCCCUUGGAGUCCGUUCUCAAGGCCAGAGAAGGAACCAAGAAGUCAGAUGGAGCUACAGAAGCUGGGACAGAGCAGUGAGCACCAGCCUGGGCAGGUGACAGACAUCUCAUUUCUGACAUCGCGCAGUCCCUCCCUAUGGCGGGGGGAUAUACCCUUUGCUAUGUGAUCAAAAAAAAAUUAUGUCUCAGCAAAAACAUGGAAACUUUAUGGAUUUAGUCUGGAAGGAGCUCAGCAGGAAUGCAUAGGAGCUGACUGCAGUAUUUCAAAGUCUUUCUAGAAGCCAUGGGAUGAAAUCUUCCGUGGUGCUGCAGGCAACAAGUCACCAGCUCCAGCUCUCCAAACUUCGCUGUAAUGCUGUCUCCACAAUAUUCACGCAGAAGAGGAUGACUGGAGGGAAGGGCAGUCUCCAUACUCAGCCCCCUUGCUUGUCUUGGGUUGUGUUGCAUGCUCCGUGUUGUUUUAAUGUAGUUCCUAGCAUUUAAUGCAUUUUUAUUGCUUUCUCUAAUAACACCGACUGAGCACUAGGAGCCAAACCAAACAAGCCAUACCAAUAAGCCACACAUUUCACUUCAAACAGCAAAGCGGAUGCCACUUCCCCUCUUCCAGCCUGGCUGUGGAAGUCGAGGCCCUCACUGCUCCUCAGGGUACGGGAAGCGAUGGCUGCUGUGGUGUGGGGGAGACAGAGCUGGGGCAGCAGCCCUGCCGCGCGUGCAGGAGUGGCUGUGUGCCCCCUCCAGCUCCUGCCUGCGCCAGUCUUGUUGGUCUCAAGGUGGAAGUCAGACACGGUGAGAGGCUGGCUGUUCCUGGGCUGUGAUGUGGCAGCUCGUCUCAUGGGCUUUAUCAAGUUGGGUCUUGUUUUUGUGAGGCUGUAAGCACCUCUAAAGCCUUUACCAUCACUGGAGGCUGGUGUUCACGUUCUGCAUCACUGAAAGCCUUUCCAUGAAAUUAAAACAACCCCAAACCUCCUCCCCUGGUGCUGAUCAGUGGUGUGGUGUUGACGUAAGUGUACUGGAGUUUCACUUACAGCAGCUGGGUAGCUGGCACUUUUAUAGACUUUUUUUUUUUAAAUUCUCUUUCUGUCUUCUGCAAAAUGUUCCUGAAGUUUUUUUUUUUCUUUCUGUUUGCUUUUCCCCUACAAGCCCUAGCCUUCAUGUCUGUCCUCUUAGGACUGCUUCCUGUUGUUCUCUGUGAUCUCCCUUGUUCCAUCUUCUCUUCUCUGGUUUCCUCCCUUUCAUUUUACCCUUUUCUUUUUUUUUGCUCAGACUGGCUCAGCCCAUCCUCCCAAAGGGGAAGCGUAUCUGUUUCAUUGCCCUGUCUCCAUUUCCCUCCCAGCCCCACAGCUGUUCCCGUUCCUACAGGCCCCUCUCCUGCUCAGAGCACCAUCCACGUCCAACCCCUUUCCUCCAUCACUGGAGGUCAACAAUAGAGAAAACAGAAAAUGAACCAGGAGGGGAAUAUUACAGCCAAGAAUGAUUGUUCCUGCAAGAUGCCAAGUAUUGUCUCACCAGCAUUAGCCUGGACCGCUUUCAUCUGGCUGGACGGGCUGAACCCACCAUCUCCAGCACUGACACGCUGCAUGCGAUGUUUCAUGCCACACAAUCUGUCAUUGCUCCUGAGGAAUUUUAGCCUUUCAUGCUGCCCAAGCCUGAAAGGUGUGACCUCUGCAGUGAGGAUGUGGUGAGGUGCGAAUGUACACUUUGUUUCCAAGUUCCUCUUCUCCCCCCGUGCGCUGCACUUCAGCAGCAAAGCAGCAGGCACCUGUAGCUGCAGCUCUCUGUGCGUUGGCCCAUGUAAUUACGCAUUUUCUAGUUGUGCUCAGUCAAAAGCAUUCAUGGAGCUACAAUCUCAGCUGGGACAGAAACUAAUCAAUCUAACAAGUUGGCUCGUGUGCAAUUACAGAAGAUACAUUCUGCCGCUAAUUUGUUCUGCCACCCCUUUGCCCGCCUGCGUGGAACAUGCUGUGGGGACAAAUGAACCCAGAGCGUGGCUCGUCUGCGUUACCCGUCUGCCUGUUCUGCUGGGGUGAGUGAAAGGUCCAGCUUAAAGGUGUGAAGGGGUCUUUCACUCCAGAGGGAACUGGGCUGCAUUUGGGCUGCAGUCUGCAUAUCUGCCUCAGAAAUCAUAUGACCCCUGCGUCGGGCAUCUUUUUCAGAAUUAGGGAAUGAUCAAAUCUGGAAGGAGAACAAGCACGGGCAGAUCUGCCAGCAAAUAAGUGAAAACCUAAUACAGCCCAAAGCUACUUCAUGGGCAGCCCACUCAGUGGCACUGAGCCCCCAGAACCGCUGUUUCACUCUCUCCCUGGCUGCGAUCGCAUCUCCUACCCAUUCCCCUUGCCUCUCCUUGUAAUCCCUGACUCAAGCUUUGCCUUGCUCAGCAACAAAGAAAAUGUCUUCAAAAACAUCUUCACCCUGAUACAGCGGGAGGCUGUGACUGAUAGUCACGGCUGGGGAACGAGUGCGGCAGCAGCACUGAGCUGUCUGUGCCAUUAUUGUUCUCUGCUGCAAACUGGAAGCGACUGAGAGAAGGACAGCACAGUUUGUAACAACCCCCCUGGGACCUGCAUGAACCUUUGGUGUUGCAGGAUAUGCACAGUAGUCAAGGCUGGCAGUUUUGUCCAUGAAGAUAAUGACAAAGUCCCUCAUCUGAAUUUAGUCUCGCUAUCUAGCACUUUCACAGCGAUUACUCGCUGGUGGCUGACACUUAAACAGUGGGUUUUAAAAACCUAAGUAAGGAAAUGGGAGGGGAACACGUCAACUUCCAGGGCAAACGCAGGAUGUGUUGGAAAAGAACGAACGAUACGGUGAUCGCCUCCAGGUCAGUCCUGCUAAGUUUGACUCUCAUGGGGAUAGUUAAACAACCUCUUAAAGGGUUCUUCUUGUUAGGUUUUGUUACAGAGCAGUCACAGUGCAUUUCCCCUGCAAGCAGUGAGCGCUCUCCCAGGGGAGCUCUCCCUGUACGUGAUGCAGGCAGCAGCACUCUGGGACCUCCCGGUGUAGCAAAUGCCACAGAGGACAACUUUGAAGUGGCCGUUAGCAUUUCCAGGGGCAGAUUCAUGGGCUAAUUGGAGGACAGCCCACCUGUGGCUGUCUCUGUGUAUGUAAAUCCUUUGUCUGGACUAACGUGAUAUUCAGCGAUACAGUCCAAAGAGCUCAUGAGGCAGUCUGUGCUCCUCCUCUGCCUCUCCCAAAAGGAAUGCAGGUCUUGACCACACACACAGCUGAUACAGGACCUUGACCUUGAACUUUGUGCCUUGGACAUCAGCUUUGUGAGCCCUUAGACAGCCCUUCUGCAGCUGCGUCAGGCCACACACAGUCACAAGUCUCUGCUGGGAGGUGACAGGCACAAAGCUGGCACUGGCUCUGUGAAUAUUUCUCCUUCGCAAAGUCAAACAGGCCAAAAAUAAAUGCUAGUGAAGGAAUAAACAGAUGUGAAAAGAAGGCUUGGACACUUGGAAGACAAGACUGCUUUGUGUUUCCCAAAGCCAUAAGCCUGUUCACACAAGGAGGUUACUCUUUCAGAAAACCCCAAGUCCUGUGACGCUGCCCAGGGUUUGAACAUGCACCAGUUUGUCAGCAGAAGACAGCUUCCAUCUAUCUCAGAUAGACAUAGCCGUAGUGCUGUGGUUGCAUCACUUGCAGGCUGACUCGGGAAGCGGGCAGUGCUGCUGCCUUCUGCAGCUGAGGAAGCAGGUAAAGUGAGGACACGUUCACAUGCAGGGUCCCAGAGCGCUUCUCAAGGGAGCGGGGAAAGUGAGUGGGUGGCUACGUAGGCGACUACUAAAGUUCAGAUCCCCCUUUCAAUGCCCUAUGUGGCAGUAAGGCCAGGAUUUUAAAUGCUUUGCAUUCUUCAAAAGUGUCUUGCGGACAGGGCUCCUCUCUUCUUGUGUCAGCCUCAUACCAGCAGCCCGAGCUAGGCCUUUGCUACCUGCCUUGGCUGCAUGUCCGGGACAGGGCGCCCAGCAGUGUGGAUGCGCUUUGCUGUCUGCAGGAACCAGACAGAAUUCAGAGCAAGCAGCUUGGCGCAGACACCUUGUUUUCCGGUAAGCAAAGUUAAACUGCUGCAGUGAUCUCAGUGGGGUUAGGGAGCUUUAGACUUUACUUUAGGGACUUAACUAAAUCUUCACUGAGUGCAGUACCUUUUGAAAUGUGACCUUUAGGCUCUUUAUGUCUCAGCUGUUGUAGAACGAAAACCCCAGUUAAUAUUGAGAAGUGUUAAGGUGAUACAGAGUCUCUCUCGCACACAAAGGGAAGUGCAGUUCCUUUUCUGUCUCUAAAGCACCAAGUUGUGAGUCAGCCAAAGCCUCUGAAGACUGGUUAAGAAACAGGAGCUUUUACAGGCACCUCAUUAGGGCUGAAUUUUCGGCACCGUCUGUAGUCACACACCAAAACAUACUCAUCUCAAAAAGGGCAAAUGUUGGGAAAUUAAGGGAACUAAUUAGUGGAAUCAACUGCACUGAAUAGCGUAUGAGUUGAAUGUGAAACUGGAUUCCAAAACUAGCUGAAACACGCAGGACAAACCCUGAAGGGAAACACUCCAAACCCAGUGGGAUAAAAAACCAGCCCCAAACACACGGGGGGAGUUAAAUGACAGCAGGCAGGGAACGGGCAGAAGGUCUGAUUGGCAAGAGGGUAUUUGGUUCGCAUGCAGCCAGGGACUGAAAUCAGAUGUCUGGAGGGGAACCGCUACAGGGAACGACCAUCUGCUUUGCUCUUUGAUGGAGCCCAUCACUCCUGUCAUGGGGCUGACUAAGCAGCUUACCCAGCAGGUCCUGAGCAGCCGCUGUUCCAUGGACACGCUCAGUCCGGCAAUUCAGGACCUGCUUUAGGAGUUACUCUGUCGGUGCCACAAGGGCGGCAUCAGAGAAGAGUGGCGGAGCAGAAGACUGGAGGCAGUAUUUGCCUCAGUCAUCCGAUUUUAAUUUGCUGAGGUCAGGAAAUAAAGGGGUAGACUGAAAAAUGUCAGAAGUAAAAUUGUGAACUAGACUUUGAAAAGGAAAUUAGAACAGAUGGCACAAGGUUUCAGCUAGAGAAAUAAAAAGAGGAGAAAUGUGGUCAUUAUGUAGUAGUGAGAAUGGGGUUGAGAUUAGACCAGUCUGCACAUGGUCUAAAAAUGAAUUAAAAACACUUUGCCUACAUUUGCAGUAGAGAUGAUCAUAUUGAGCAGCGGGGCAAAGACAGGAUUUCUAGUGGGAACAUACAUAAGGGAAUGAAAAUUGUCACAUGUAAGAUGGAAGGAAAACCUUAAAGAAUUCAGUGUGCUCAGAUGAAGGUGCACUGGCAGAUUUCCAUCCCAGGAUUUGGAAAGAACUGGCACAUUAAAUGAGUUCAGCUUAACCUGAUACUUCUCUUUGAUGACUGCUUUUUUUCUAGACAAAUGAAAUACAGGUGAUUUACUCUAUCCAGACUUGAGUGAAGAAUCUGAUAUUAUACCACAGGGGAAAUUACUAGUUGAAGUUGAGAAGAUGGGGAUUAGUGUGGAUGGUGAACACAAAACUGCUAAAGCUCUGAGAGGGGAAAUGCCGGACAGAGGCAGUUAAUAAGUGGAACUCCUCAAAGGUCAGUGUUGAGCUCAGCCUUGCUUGUUUCGUUAAUGAUGCUGGCACAGCAGUAGGAACGUAGUAAAGAAAUCUGCUGAGGACACAGGCUUUCUUAAUACAAAGGAGGAUCAGAACAUCAGUCAGCAAUAACUGAAUGACAGAAUUUAUCUGAAAUAGAAUAGAGAAAGUAUAAAGAUAUGCAAUUAGAAAUUAAUAACUAGAAUAUCACAUUACUCACUUGAAAAUGACAAAAGUAGGGUGGUGGAAAAAAAACACAGUGAAUUACUUGCUCCCAGGGAGAACUGUGAACCACCAAUCUGAUAUGGAAAGGCAAACACAAUCCUAGAAGAUACAGGUUCACUCAUGUUCAGGGAAGAUUAGCAGGUACAGAGAAGGGCAUUGAGGAUGAUCAGAGGGUUUAGAACAAGAGAAGACUAGAAGAGUUUCAUUUGUUUUGUUUCUCAAAACAAAGACUAGAGGAGAUAGGAUUGUUUUCAGUAAAUACAUCUGAUAGGUAAAGAUCAGAGAAAAAAGAGAAUUGUUUAAACUAAAUUAUGAUGCUGGCACAAGAACAAAUGAUAUUAAGGCUGAAAAUUUUAAAUGAAGUGCUGGAGUAGCCUGCCAAAAAGCAUGAUAUAAUGUAAUUGACUGUAAUAGUGGGCGACUGGAUCAGUAAUCCAGAGCCCUGUGUUCCUAGAUAACUUCUUUUUGGGAAAGGAGUCAGUCAUGGGAGUUAAAUGCAGGGAAUUGGAAGGAACAGCCCAGACCAACACCACAAAUGUGUUCCCAGUGAUGGAGCAGUGCGGUAAGUGACUGAGACUCGCAUGGCACCCACCAAGUAGUGAUCUCUUUCUUAGUAGGAAAACUAGGCCAAAAUGUGUGCAGUGAAGUGCUAGAUAUAUGCCACUAAAACAGUUUGUUGUGAGUUUGAGCUCUUGCUUUUUAUCUGAAAAUGUGACCAUCUUUCACCUCACAAGCCUGGCUACAUGGUUGAAGGAACAUCUUCAGGAUUUGCUGUCCUGAUACCGGCAGUCAUUGCCUUGCCUCCAUGCAGCCUCAGUGGCUGUCCCCGGGGAGCUGGAAGCAGGCGAUGCGCUCAGCUCCCUGCUCUGUCCCCUGGUCCUCUCUUUAUCUGAUGUCCUCUUUGUCAAAAGGCCUGGGCAAGUGAUAAUGUACAUCUUCAAAGAGAAACAUGCAGACAACAGAGUUUUGGCAACGUGUGUACUUCUUAAAUGAGACUUGUUGAGGGACACAUGCCACAGUAAUGCCCGUAUGGCUCCCCCGACCUCGGGGCACUGAGCCGCGAUGCCUGGGCCCCUCAGGAGGGCUGGGAGCGACAGCCACUGACAGCGGCCAGGGCCAGGGGUUCUCAGGGCUGCCCUGCUCUCAGUACAGGGCUAGGCUGUGAGCCCCACACUACUUAUGCGAGAGCAAGGCUGGAAAUGGGGGGGGAAAAAAGGAGGCCAACACCGAAGCUUUUUAUUUCAGCGACUAAAAUGGGGGCCUUCCCUCUUCCUCCCCGAAUGGGAACUGGCAAACUCAGCUCUUUAAUGGUACAAGCUCAUCUCAGCCUUGCCUAUAAAUAGAUAAAUGAGAUUCCUCCUGUCCCAGUGAGUAAUUCUGACAUCCUCCCUUUGCCUUGCAGAGAGCUGAGUCACAGGCACUCUGCACUCCAGUCCCUGCAUUACUUACAUGGUCUCAAAGGAAAUUUUAACACAUCCAAUGAAUCAUCAGGGAUUGGAUCAUGUUUAAAGUUAUUCCAUUGGCAUUUCCCUUCUAUUGUAGCAAGUCUGCCAACACUUAAAACUUUAGCUAAUCUGGACUCAAAAUGCACUGAGGAAAUAGCAUGUUGACAUAUACAGCUACCAAUACAAAUAAUUUUAAAAGUCCUCCUAAAUCUGCAUCAAUAAGCAAACAACCCGUAGUGGAUUCCUUUAGCACUUUGAACCUGCUAAUUUUGUCAGACUGCUUCUUUGUUUUGUAGCUGCUUAUUUAAAGGAACUCAAAGUUUGAAAUGUUUUAAUAUUCAGUCUUUAGGCCCCUAAUUUAAUCUCCUGCAGGUUUCCUGCCAAAAUAUUAUUUGCACUGAGAUGUAGCUUGCAGCCCCAUGCUCAUUCUCUCACAGAGACGCACACAUUCCUGUUCUUACCCAUGAUAAAAAUAAAAUGCCUGCAAAGCAGAGACAAAACCAGAGUGGUGUUAAGUACAGAACCCAGGGCAUUAAUAUGCUGGCUGUACAAGGCACUGAGCUCCAGCCUGAAGCAAUAUCUCCUGAUGGGUCAUUUUCACUUGUUGCCCUUCUUUCUCCCAUGUGGUAAAGGGUAGUUUGAUCAGUUUAGAGGCAACGCAGCAUCUGAAGUCAGAAUGUCUCUCUCUGCCUCAGAAAACAUCUGGAAGAGUGGAAAAUUCUCCAGCAGAAUUUGGGAACUGUGAAACAAAUAUAAAAAUAUUUCUCUCUGUUGGUUUUCUGGCUUGCCUUUCUGUAUCUUAGAACUGGUUGGGACAUUUCACUCAUUAUUACCAGACUCUCGGUUUCAACGAACAAGAAAUUCUAACGUUUGCUGGUUUGCUGCUAUGGUUUUGUAUUCUGAGACCUAAAACCUGGCUUGCUCUUUUGAUAACCCUAGGAAAUCUGUGUCUUAUUUAAAUAACAUUUUUCUAGUACCUUUUCAUCAAGCAAUUCUCUGCCUGUGCAUAGAUUGUUAACAAGCGUUUGUUCAACACAUUCCAGCAUGAGCUGCAGUCCCUCCAUGAGAUACUAUGUCUUCUGCGCUGAGGCUCAUUGGUUUAUUUAUCAGCCCAGCACAGCCUCGGUUGCCAGUUUUCUGCCAGCUGUUACUAUAUGAUAGUAUUGGGAAAAAAAAUCAGUUUUGGCUCUGUAAGUUGAAUUGGAUAUAAUUCAGCUACCUGUUGACAAAUGAUGAUUUGUUUAACAGCAUAAACUGUAAUAUUUUUAUAGCUGAUAGUUUUCACCCUACUCUGCAGCCGGAAAGAAAAAAAUAAUGAGGAAUUCCCAGAAGUUUCUCACUUUACACUAAAGUUUUCUUGUAGUGUUGCCUUGUUGUUUCUGAGCAGGAAAAGCCAUCCUUACUGGGCGAAUUGGUGGUGUCAGCACAACGCUGGACAAGGGCGAGUACAUGAACUGGGGACACUCAGCUUCUUGGUUGGCCUCCUUCCGGUAGCAGCAAACCCCACUGGAUGGUCAGGCCACAGAGAUGCUCAAGGACACGACAGAGGCCUGAAAACAAGCCAGUGUUUCUGUAAAGCAUUAAUCACCCUGUGCGGGGCCAGGGGUGGGAAUGGGGAGAGGGUGCACUCUGCCUCGGCAUGCACAUGUUUUCUAUCUAAGCUUUGUUUCAGCUGGAUCUUUCCCACUAGCUCAUCCUUCUUUAACACCUUGUACUCAUUUAUUACGAGGCUGUUUAACAGCACAAAUCAAUUAAGUACCGCAGAAACCCACUGAGACAGACAGAGGUUCCUAUCUCUGGUUCAGCUGGGGUGGGAGGCACGCAGAGGUUAAGCCCCGUGCUCCUUGCCACACAGCGAGCGGGGGUGGAGCACGACGCAGCCCCCAGCUCGCCUCCUGCCUUUCAGCCUCCCCCAGCACCCUCCGUGCCACACUGAGCCCCACUCAGGUACUGCUGAAGUGAGAGGGUCCUGGGGCUUGGCCCCACAUUUGCUGCAGCCCCCUGCUGGGCUGUGGAAGCUGUCACCCCCUCCAGCUGUGCCCACGGACACAGGGCUCCCAGCAGAGAGAACAGGGGCAGCCAAAAGGCUUUGCCUUCCCAGCCCUGCUGCGGCUUCUCCAGCCCCCUGGGAUAAGCCCUGCGAGGGGUGCAGCUGGGAGGCCCCGGCCUCAUGGCAGCGAGAGGCCAGGGAAGGUGGGGUGCUUGGGGCAGCCCCAGGUUUGCCAGGGGCACAUCACAGCCCUGAGACGCGGCAGCUGUACGAGGGCCCUGCCUGCAAACAAGCAGGCAGCCAGAGGUACGGCCUUGCUUCUGUGCGCCCGUGGCCAGCUUUACCAUGCUGAGGGCUGCUGGGGCAUAACAAAUGGGGUGUGUUCCUCUGAGGCCUGGCUGAGCCAGUCCUGAGGUGCCCAGCUCUGCCAUAAUGGGGAUAUGGUAGGGUUCGGGCCUCUGUUGUCACCUCUAUGUAUCCUGCUGGAUUCUUCAUCAGGAUAUUGCCUGGGUCCUGCUAAGGAAAGCCACUGUUCAAUGGCGCAGCUAGUACCUGGGCAGGGGGUUGUGCAGGGCUUUAGGAUGUAGCACAGUCACAAAAGGUGAACAAGCAGAGUCAGAAAAAAAAAAAGUGACUAAAAUAAUUGUUUAGGUCUUGUUCCAACUGCAGCUUAGCGUGCAGUACCCACUCAGUACCCACUGUAAUGUCUUCAGGCUGUGCUCCCAAUGCCUGCCCUGGUUCAGGUUGGUUUAGAGUUACUUGUAUGUACCACACACUUCAGAAAUAGGAGCUAAUAAUUCAAGCCACAUGACAUAGAUGAUCCACAACAUAAAGGAAAAUAAGAACUAACCAACCAAUUCUUGCUCAUGCCUUUAAAACGUGCUCAGCCAAACUGUACUUCGUGAAUCUCUCUGAGGAGGGCCAGAUUCUGUAGGACAUGUCCUCAGCUCACAGAAAGAGACCAUUAAUCAUUAGUGUGCCUUGGUCCCUGGCUAUUUUAAUCACUGUUGAACUACUCAUGCAGUUCCCACUCCUAAAAAUGGUAUUUGACUCCAAUGCACAUGAUUUCCUUUGGCUUCCUUUCCCCAAUUAAGAGCAAGCCUUAACUACUUGGAAGUGCAAGCACUGGAAUCCAUGGAUUUGCUUCUCAUCUGUCAUGGAGCAAAAGCGUGGUACUACAAGUAGCAUCUGUGCUGCCAGACAUAAACAUCAGCAUAUAUUGUAACCGGCCAGCGCAGUACGAAGCUGUAACGGCUUUUGUGCCUACAGGCUGAUGGCCAAACCCUGUCCUGUGUAUUGGAGCACUGGAAAUGUCUUUGGUCCCUGCUAUAUUGUUAGUCCAUUUCUGUUCCACUUUAUUAAGUAAUGAUUAAAAGUGCUUCUUGUAUAUGUGGGCACUAAUUAUGGCACGUCAGUUUGUUGUGGGAGAAGUGGAUGAACAUGGAGUACAUUUGUAAACUGCAGGCUGUAGAAACCAAUAAAUCUUCUUUCAAUUUUUCCCUUUAAAAGCACUCAGCCAAAGUCACAGGAAGUUUAAGGGAAAAACAAAUUGCUCAUCCACAGAUUCAGGAUCACAGUGAAGCCUUGUAAUGCUCAGCUUCUCUCAUGAGGUCGAUGAGCAGCCUGAGGAGUCUGGGGGUGUGCAGAGAAAACUUCAUUGCCUUCCCUUAGUUGCAGACUAAUAAACGCAUUGUGUCCACCUCCAUGGGCUUACCUAAUUUAUAAACUGGAUUGCCACAGCUCUGAAUUUCUCUGCUUUCACUCCUUGUACGUGAACAUGCUCCUGUUGAGCUUGGAGAAAGAACCACUCUGAUUUUGCAUACAGAGAGAGCAGGAGAGGUUUAUAGGAGGAUCAACUUAAAUAACAGGUAAAGUUUUGCAGAUGCACUGCUCAUGAAGGAUCCUUCCAGUGUUUGUCACACCACGUCAGGUCAAGGGCACAAUGACAAACAGCGGGAGGACUAUCAGUGAUUAUAAUAUGGGAUUUAACGCAUAACUACCAAUAGCGUUAUUUACCUGGAAAACUAUGAAUUGUUUUUCUUAUAUCCUUACCAGGCAGGAAAGAGCAUGUACUUUUUUUAAAAAAAAAAGAAAAAAAAAAAGAAAAAGAAAAAAAAAGCUGCAUAUAAUGCAGCAUCAGCCUCAGUAAUGAGGAAUUUCUGCAUGGCUUUCUGGUUCAGAAGACAAAAUCCUGCCACAAUGCCACAGGAAAGUUUUCAAACUUGAUGGUGCAGAGAAAGGCAUGUACACAAGUCAUACUAUCCAAAAUCAGCUGAUGAGCUUGUGUGCCUAAUGUGGAACUCAGGAAGUCAAUUCAUUUUGCAGGGUUUUGUUUUGUUUUAUUUCUCUUAAAUAUUUCUCCAAAUAGCAACCAAAUUUCAGCUAAUACCAACUGGGCACCAAAACAAAGUCCAUCCUUGAGAAGGCUGGCCUGGCUGGCUCACCAGAGAAAUUGCUCGUUCCUUCCCACCAAUUCCUGCAAAUGUUCCUUUACAUAAACUUGGCCAAUUCUGAUCCAAUUAAAAAGACAAAGCCCAACAAUAAUCUGCUAAAGCUAAAGGUUCCUUGAGAGCUUAGAUUUCUUCAGUCUUGCUGAAAAUUAAAUGUUUAAACAUUGUGAAGAAAGUUUGCCAUAAUAACCAUAUUUCCUCCAUGAAGCAGCUAUUCAUCAAGAACUACAGCAAAGCACUAAAGGGCUCCAGUGAAAGAAGGCAACAAAUUUGCCUGCAAAAUGUUAUUUCCUGCACUGGACUAAUUCAGAUCAUGUGGCUGACAUACAAUUUCUGUUUGAUUGAAUGUACCACAUUAAAUUAUUCCAGACAGGAGUUGUGCACUGAAAGCAGCUGAUAAUAUUACAGGGCAGUUCAGAAAGCGUCCCCUGCAGCUAGACUCCUUGCAGCCUGGAACAGCAGUGUUUGAAAGACUCUAACAGAAUUGCUUGUACUUGAAGAGCAAUACAUUUCUAUUUUUUUUUUCUCCCAGUGGGGAUCUCACUCCGCAACCUUUGCUCUUUUGGGUCUAUUCUUGGUGGGCGGUUGUACUACUAUUGUCAGUGUGUGCUUUCCAAGGAUGAGCAAAGUAACGUGAGUGGUGGCUCAAGCUUAGCAGCUCCUCUGUUAUCCAUGCAGAAUUAUCUGCAUGGAGGUACCACGAUGCUUUAUUGUGGUGGCUUCUAUCCUAAUGUUCAUACUACCUAGCAUAUGCUAGGGAUGGCAACUCCAAGGAAGUCUGGGGCAAUACUUAAGCACAGUAGACACUGAUGGCAACAUCUGAAAUUGUUUUCAGGGUCAACACUUUUCAAAAUGUAUUUAUUGUAGGUAUUUAUGCAUUUUUCCAAGCCAGAUUAGAGGUGCUAAAUGGCACUGAACUUUCGGAAAGAACAGCCAGAUUUCUUGUCCUUGACAUCUUAGUGUCUUAGCCUGGACACUAAGAAAUGGUCUCACAUGGCUGCUGAGAGUUCCCUAUGGUGUAACGGGGGGGGGGUCAGCCAGGCUGGAUCCCUCCUGCCUAUCAGUCCCUAGCCAAGUGUCCCUAUGGACUUCUGCUGUGCCUGCUCUCCACUCUGAAAGACAGCUGUAAUAGAGCUGUUUUGAGAACAGAUGGUAUAAAAGUUAACACCAAACCUUCUUGUUCUCCUAUUCAACAUACGCAGUCACAUACAUGAAGGGUUUCUUCCACUGUGGCUGUACAAGAGGCAUAAGUGGGAAAUUCUGGGCUGCCAUAAGGUACAAGACAAGGUUAUAAAACAUUGGAACAGUUUAUCAGACAUUUAUAUAGGCAGAGUUCCCAUAGCACAUAAGAAAAAGAUCCAUUCAUCAGGGCACUGAUUUCAGAAUGAAUUGCAGCGAUUGCUCUGUGCGCAUCCUCUGAGGUUCAGACUGGUCCUUCUGACUUUAAAAUCCAUGAGUUGAUUCUCUUCAAAGGGGCUGAGCUGAGAUAGGAAGAAGCUGGGCAGGCUCAUUCCAGUAUUUCAGAGUAAAAAUGUUUAUUUUAACAUAAACAUUCUUAUUUUGAGUAAGAUGCAGAUAAUAAAUAUAAAAAUUGUAACACAGAGUCAUAUCAAAAAAGUUACAAAACCCCAUUCCAGAUCUUCCUGCUUUCAGUACAACAAGUAAAUUGUUGUUCUCCAACGUGUUAGCAGCUGAGGUGAUUGUACUUAGUUGGUUUGGUAGAUAUCAGAUUGAAAACAGAUCAAUUCCAUCCACACAUCUUGCCAAGGGAAACAUUCAAUUUCUUCCAUCUUCUUUCAGUAUCAGGUGAAGACACUGGAGUUGCUAAGAGAGGAAAUGCCCAUGGAGAGGAGCAGAGGGUUUGGGCUUUCCUAUGAUAGGCCAGUCUCAGCAAUCACAGGUGUCAAAGCGGAAAGUCCCAAAACAAACCAUUCCAAAAGUGCCACAUUCCUGGAAUCAGCCCGCAAGGAAGGACACCCCCGAGACAGUCCUGCAUGGCCUUGAGCAGCACAAAUUUCGUUGUUGUUCGCAGCCAAACAGCGCCCAUCCUUAGCUGAUAGCAGGGUGCCUUUCUUGUGCCCAUUAUCUCUUAUCUAGUCACACAGUCACUGGGACAAGAAUUCUCUUUUGGGGCUUGCUUACAAAGAGGAGUUGACUAUUCUGCAAUAGUCACUGCAGGAUGACUUCAUGUGAACACACUCAUUCCACAGCGGCUGUUAGAGUUUCUGAUCCAUACCAUACCUUAACUGGAGCAGCGUCAGUAUGUCAGUGUGCCUUACAAAGUUAAGCAAGACCUGGGACCCAGUUUGGGGUUUCUAGUCACUUCUCCUUUACAAAGAAUUCAGCUUUAAGAAAAGCAGUGGGAAUGUUCCUGAGAAUAACAAAUAACAAAUGAGUAAUUCUUGCUCCAGAGCCAUAUAACCCAAUUAAAGAUAGGUAAGUGAUGUGUAAAGGCAAGUCUGUGCAGUCAGCAUAGAAAAAAAUGCAUGCAGUUCUAAUCUAUUGGCACAGGCAUAUAAAGCAGAAUUAAUUGAUAAACAUAUCAAUUAAUUGAUAAACAAAGCCUUUUCAAAAAAGGUAACGACUAAUCCAACCAGACACUGGGAAAGGGACUUGCUGUGGUGGGGCCAGAUUAAUUUGACUAUCCAUACCCCUAGGUGGAGUUAUUAAAGGAUAAAAGCUUUGAACAUUGUUGCAGAGUUCAAUGAAAAUAAAAACUUUUACUCAACAUAGAGAAGCUCUCAGAAAUGCAAACGAGGUGUUAGAAUGCAUAAAGAUGUUGAAUAAUUGAAUAUUAUAGAGUUUUGUUUAACAAAUUGCUUCUCCACAUGCAAUUACUACAUCCUUGUCUGAUCUGAAAAAUUAGAGUAGGAAUAAAGCUCAGGAAGAGGGGAUAAGAACGAGCAGAGAUCUGCAACGACUCAGAGCAGUUCAGCUGAAAGAGGAGUAAAACGGGGAGUCAGAACGGGGAGGGCAGUCUGCAAUAUGAAGAAUGGCAUUAAGUCUAAAUCCACCAACUCUUUCACAAACAUGAAAAGAAUAAAUUUAAUACUGAAAAAAAAAA